rnacentral:misc_RNA from 1 species
UUCCUAGAAAGAUCAAGUUCUAUGAUUGAACAAAGUUGAAUCAGCCUUUUUUAACCUAUUACUUCGCAUCAAUGCCACUGCUUGAAAAUUAAGAAGGUAAAAUGUACCAUCUGAUUAAGUGCUUUUUUGUCGGCUUGGCAAGGGAUGGACAGGACAAUCCUUCCCCUUCAGCUUAAAAUAAUUCAAGAAUUUAGCUAUGCAAAUACAAAAAGAAACGAAGAGUGG